rnacentral:rRNA from 1 species
CCUCGUGAAUGAUUACUGGGGGUAGAGCACUGUUUCGGCUAGGGGGCUGUCAUGGCUUACCAAACCGAUGCAAACUCCGAAUACCGGCUAAUUGAAUCACGGGAGACACACGGCGGGUGCUAACGUCCGUCGUGGAGAGGGAAACAACCCAGACCGCCAGCUAAGGUCCCCAAGUACUAGUUAAGUGGGAAACGAUGUGGGAAGGCAUAGACAGCCAGGAGGUUGGCUUAGAAGCAGCCACCCUUUAAAGAAAGCGUAAUAGCUCACUGGUCGAGUCGGCCUGCGCGGAAGAUGUAACGGGGCUAAAACUAGUCACCGAAGCUGCGGAUGUGCGCGAAGGCGCACGUGGUAGGGGAGCGUUCUGUAGGCUGAUGAAGGUGCAUUGAGAAGUGUGCUGGAGGUAUCAGAAGUGCGAAUGCUGACAUGAGUAACGAUAAUGUGGGUGAAAAGCCCACACGCCGGAAGUCCCAGGUUUCCUGCACGACGUUAAUCGGAGCAGGGUGAGUCGGCCCCUAAGGCGAGGCUGAAGAGCGUAGUCGAUGGGAACCAGGUUAAUAUUCCUGGACUUUUUAUAAGUGGUGAAGUGGGGACGAAGAAGGCUAGGUGAGCCAGGCGUUGGUUGUCCUGGUACUUGCAUGUAGGGGGGAAGACUUGGCAAAUCCGGUUUUCCAUAACUCUGAGGUGCGAAGUGGUUCUGACCUUUUGGUACAGAGAAGUCAUUGAUGCCCGGCUUCCAGGAAAAGCUGCUAGCCAUAACUUAUAGAGAACCGUACCGCAAACCGACACAGGUGGACAGGUAGAGAAUACUAAGGCGCUUGAGAGAACUCGGGUGAAGGAACUAGGCAAAAUGGUACCGUAACUUCGGGAGAAGGUACGCCCUUUCUGGUGAUGGGAUUUACUUUCAGAGCUGGAGAGGGCCGCAGAGACCAGGUGGCUGCGACUGUUUAUUAAAAACACAGCACUCUGCAAAUUCGUAAGAAGACGUAUAGGGUGUGACGCCUGCCCGGUGCCGGAAGGUUAAUUGAUGGGGUUAUCUUCGGAGAAGCUCUUGAUCGAAGCCCCGGUAAACGGCGGCCGUAACUAUAACGGUCCUAAGGUAGCGAAAUUCCUUGUCGGGUAAGUUCCGACCUGCACGAAUGGCGUAACGAUGGCCACACUGUCUCCACCCGAGACUCAGUGAAAUUGAAAUCGCUGUGAAGAUGCAGUGUACCCGCGGCUAGACGGAAAGACCCCGUGAACCUUUACUAUAGUUUUGCACUGGACUUUGAUGAUGACUGUGUAGGAUAGGUGGGAGGCUGUGAAGUGAGGACGCUAGUUCUCAUGGAGCCGCCCUUGAAAUACCACCCUGUUGUUAUUGAGGUUCUAACUUGGUCCAGUAAUCCUGGAUGAGGACAGUGUAUGAUGGGUAGUUUGACUGGGGCGGUCUCCUCCCAAAGAGUAACGGAGGAGCACAAAGGUACCCUCGGUACGGUCGGACAUCGUACCAAGAGUGUAAAGGCAAAAGGGUGCUUGACUGCGAGAGUGACGGCUCGAGCAGGAACGAAAGUUGGUCUUAGUGAUCCGGUGGUUCUGAAUGGAAGGGCCAUCGCUCAACGGAUAAAAGGUACUCCGGGGAUAACAGGCUGAUACCGCCCAAGAGUUCAUAUCGACGGCGGUGUUUGGCACCUCGAUGUCGGCUCAUCACAUCCUGGGGCUGAAGCAGGUCCCAAGGGUAUGGCUGUUCGCCAUUUAAAGUGGUACGCGAGCUGGGUUUAGAACGUCGUGAGACAGUUCGGUCCCUAUCUGCCGUGGGCGUAGGAAAAUUGAGAGGAGCUGCUCCUAGUACGAGAGGACCGGAGUGGACGAACCUCUGGUGCACCGGUUGUCACGCCAGUGGCAUGGCCGGGUAGCUAAGUUCGGACGGGAUAACCGCUGAAAGCAUCUAAGCGGGAAGCCUCCCUCAAGAUGAGUUUUCCCAUGAAGCCCGUUGAAGACUACGACGUUGAUAGGCAAGGUGUGGAAGCGCAGUAAUGCGUGAAGCUAACUUGUACUAAUUGGCUGAUUGUCUUGACCAUAUAAUCUGAG